UGAUGGGUGAAGCUAAAACCUCUUAGG
rnacentral:piRNA from 1 species